UAGUCAUAUGCUUGUCUCAAAGAUUAAGCCAUGCAUGUCUAUGCACAAGCCGAUUAAUGGUGAAGCCGCGAAUGGCUCAUUACAACAGCCACUGUUUACUUGAUCUUGAUUAUCCUACUUGGAUAACUGUGGUAAUUCUAGAGCUAAUACACGCAAUAAAGCUCCGACCUUACGGGACGAGCGCAUUUAUUAGACCAAAACCAAUCGGGCUUCGGCCUGAGACGUUGGUGACUCUGAAUAACUGAGCUGAUCGCAUGGUCUUUGUACCGGCGACGCAUCUUUCAAAUUUCUGCCCUAUCAACUUUCGAUUGUAGGAUAGAGGCCUACAAUGGUUUUAACGGGUAACGGAGAAUUAGGGUUCGAUUCCGGAGAGGGAGCCUGAGAAAUGGCUACCACUUCCAAGGAAGGCAGCAGGCGCGCAAAUUACCCACUCUCGGCACGAGGAGGUAGUGACGAAAAAUAACGAGGCGGUUCUCUAUGAGGCCCGCUAUCGGAAUGGGUACAAUUUAAACCCUUUAACGAGGACCUAUGAGAGGGCAAGUCUGGUGCCAGCAGCCGCGGUAAUUCCAGCUCUCAAGGUGUAUAUCGCCAUUGCUGCGGUUAAAAAGCUCGUAGUUGGGUCUGCGCCUUCGGACUCGGUCCGCCCAACGGGUGUGAACUGGGAUCCAAGGCUUAUACUGCUGGUUUUCCCUUGAUGCUCUUUACUGGGUGUCUUGGGUGGCUAGCGAGUUUACUUUGAAAAAAUUAGAGUGCUUAACACAGGCUAACGCCUGAAUACUUGUGCAUGGAAUAAUAGAAUAAGACCACGGUUCUAUUUUAUUGGUUUUCGGAACUGUGAUAAUGGUUAAGAGGGACAGACGGGGGCAUUCGUAUCGCUGCGUGAGAGGUGAAAUUCUUGGACCGCAGCGAGACGCCCUACUGCGAAAGCAUUUACCGAGGAUGUUUUCAUUAAUCAAGAACGAAAGUUAGGGGACCGAAGAUGAUUAGAUACCAUCGUAGUCUUAACCAUAAACUAUGCCGACUAGGGAUUGGUGGACGUUUGUAACGACUCCAUCAGCACCUUAUGAGAAAUCAAAGUCUUUGGGUUCCGGGGGGAGUAUGGUCGCAAGGCUGAAACUUAAAGAAAUUGACGGAAGGGCACCACCAGGAGUGGAGCCUGCGGCUUAAUUCGACUCAACACGGG
rnacentral:rRNA from 1 species